GAACGCUGGCGGCGUGCUUAACACAUGCAAGUCGAACGGAAAGGCCCCUUUGGGGGUACUCGAGUGGCGAACGGGUGAGUCACACGUGAGUAACCUGCCCUUGACUUCGGGAUAACUUCAGGAAACUGGGGCUAAUACCGGAUAGGAAUCCUUGCUGCAUGGUGGGGGUUGGAAAGCUUCGGCGGUUUUGGAUGGACUCGCGGCUUAUCAGCUUGUUGGUGGGGUAGUGGCUUACCAAGGCUUUGACGGGUAGCCGGCCUGAGAGGGCGACCGGCCACAUUGGGACUGAGAUACGGCCCAGACUCCUACGGGAGGCAGCGGUGGGGAAUAUUGCACAAUGGGCGGAAGCCUGAUGCAGCAACGCCGCGUGCGGGAUGACGGCCUUCGGGUUGUAAACCGCUUUCAGCAGGGGCGAAGCUUGUGGUGACGGUACCUGCAGAAGAAGCACCGGCUAACUACGUG
rnacentral:rRNA from 1 species